CGGGUUCACGCCAUUCUCCUGCCUCCGGCUUCCAAGUAGCUGGGAAUACAGGCGCCCGCCACCACGCCCGGCUAAUAUUUUUGUAUUUUUAGUAUAGACAGGGUUUCACCGUGUUAGCCAGGAUGGUCUUGAUCUCCUGACCUCGUGAUCCGCCCGCCUCGGCCUCCGAAAGCGCUGGGAUUACAGGCGUGAGCCACCGCGCCCGGCCAUUGCUUUCUUGCAGCAACUGGGGAUUGUUGGUAACUGAGGUGACUUAACAAUGAAACAAGUCAGAAAUGUCCUGAUAGAGACCAAAGGAAGACAAUAUUUCAGACUCCUCUGGAGAGGAAAGCAUCUUCUGGCUCAAUUAGCAUGCUAAAGAAUGGGUUUGGUUUCGUGCUCCAUUAAAGUCAACUAAAUAGAUGCGCUGCAUGUCUUUAUUUCAAAAAUAAAGCUGAACAAUUAAAUCCCGUGUCUCUUUGCUCAGUUUUUGAUCCCACACAAAGCUUUCCCACUUGCUGCCUUUGGAUGUAAUGUUAACAAAGUCAGUUAACAUCAAGCACUGCAGUAACAGGCAUGGCAGAAUUCCUUGUUUUUGCUCAAUCAGUCUGUGUUCAAACUAUCAGUUUGAUUUAUUUGUCCACAUUGACCCUUAUUCACCACUUAAUUAUCCUCGUAUAAUGUUUCAAGAGGCUCCUGACACAAGGAGAAAGACAAUCGCCGAUGUUCUGUAAAACAACGGUUGACCUGAUGGGCCCAGAUGAAGACCGUGGGUCGGAGUUUGUUUGCUUUUGGAAGAACCCACUUCUCCUGUCCGAGAGCUGCAUCCAGAGCCACUCGCUGUGGGUGCCACAGGCUGGCCGGUCAAGCUGUUCGUCAGGUUCUCAAACUGUGAGCUGACCAUCACCACGGGAUAGUCAUGGCGUUUUGCUCUAUUGGCCUCUCCAAAUCCCCCGGUAUGUUGGGUGUAUUAGAGUUCAGAAAAAAACAAAACCCAUGCACCCACUAACACACAAACACACACACACACACACACACACACACACUGAACCUCAAUUUCAGCAAUGUCUUUAUUAGUAUAUGGUUACUGCUGUGAUUAGAAAUACAUUUUCUCACUUUGUGUAUGAACAGGAAAGGUUUUCGAAUCACAGGUAUGAAAUGAGAAAUAAUAUUUAAACAUUGAACUGCUUCAUAUUGUAGUUGAUCUCUAAGCUCCUGCUCAUAAACCAGAUGAAUUAUAAUUUUAUUGGAAAAUAAACCAAUGUCUUUUAUACCUAGCCAGAAAUACUAUUUAUUGUAAUAGGUUUCAUGUGAAAUUAAGACAAUUAUUUUAGAACUGUUGAAAUCUGACAACUAUUCUAUAUUCAUAGCCCUUAACAUUCAAAUAUAAAUUACUGAUAGUUAAAAACAGAUAAUAAACAUCAACAUUUCUAGAAAAACAGCCCAUAUAAAUAUAAAAUCAUAAUUUUAUAUUUUGAAGUGAUUUUCUAUAAAAAUUUUAAAUCUUUUAUGGCAAGUUGAGCCCAUAUUUCAUUUGGCUACACCUUAGUAUGCAUAAAUGGUUUUUGCAACACCCUACUAACCUUGGUUUGUCAUUUUAAUUUUUUACACAUUUUCCUCUCCUGUUUAGUACAUUUUCCAUCUUAUUAAAUUUUACUCUGCACAGUUACCAAUGCAAAUGACAGCCUAAUUGUUUUUCAUACAUUAAAAAUGUUCAUCAAUGUCGUUUGAACCUAAAAUUAGAAAAUCAUACUCUAACAUAGCCUCCAUGUGUUGGUGACGUUUAUUCUUUUGUGUCUUAGCCUUUCUCUGUGAUGGACAUAUGAUCACAAAUGUUGCUGCACAGAAACAAUAACACAAGAAUUAGAUAAAUGACAGAUGACAAUUUCAAAAUGAAAAAUAUCAAAUAUUUCUAAAAGCUACUUGGUAGGAUUUUUUUUACUGCUGUAACUGUAACCAAAACUCUGAGAAGCAUUUUUGGAAGCCCCAGUUACCAGUAUGAAAGCCACCAGAAUAGAGUCUUGUACAUGCCACAACCCCGAACUCUCAUUCCGUCAUCCUGGGGAGGUCUGAGAUCCCAGCAGAGAUGGUCUGGUGGCCAGUGACCUUCUAUUUGAUUUGGUGCAGAGGGACUGAGCAUCUGGAGGCCAACCACGUGGCCUGGGCGUCCCACUCAAACUUGCUAGCUGCAAUUUCCUCAUCAUCGAGGACUUUCUAUCUUCUGAGGUUGGAUACAGAGUCCCCAGGAGUCCCGGUAGUGUUCAAGAUGACACAAGUCUGAGAGGACAUGAGCUGAGCCAGGCACACCAGUGACCUGCAGGCCUGCACACCCAGCUUUGACCAGGGUGGAUCCACUUUUUUCAGUUCUUUUCCAUAUCAGAUUUUUUUUUCCAGAAUGAAGUGUCCUGUGGCCUUUAAAGAGUUUUGUUUUGUUUUGUUUUGUUUUGUUUUAAGACCUGAAUAUAGAGGCCUUCCAGCUCUGGGAUUAUGUAACUCUAGGAAUAAAAUCAUAGUUCUUACAGCUGAAAGAAUACAAUAAGACAAAGUAGAAUAGGCAAAAAACCUGAGGUGGAAAAUCUGGCCUCCGUGUUGUCCCUUAAACAGGCUCACCGUCCUUCCAAUGGGUUCAAUUAUUUGCUACUGAAGAAAUCAUUCCGUAUGUUCCCCUGUCUGCAAACACACGGGCCUGAGAUCCCCUAAGUAAGAACACCAGUGGCAAGAUGAAGACACAAUCAGGGACUUGUUCCAACAUGGACUCCUGCUCUAAGAAAGCCCACAAAGCUGCUCUCUCUGUUCUGGCCUUGCUGUCUAAUACCAAGGAAUUUUCAUGACAUGUUCCAAUAGAAAUGACCAAAAUAAAAAUCUCUCUGAGAAAAAUGCCGCCCUCUUCUAAAAAUUAUUGUUGUUGUUGCUUUAUCUCAUUUUUCUGCUCAAUGUUUCUUUCUACCUGAAAACAAAUUUUUUAAUCUGAAAAAAUAAUUUGCUUUCAACUCUUUUUGCUACCUCCACCUGUUUCCUCCCAAAUCAGGUCUGUGUCAAAAG
rnacentral:lncRNA from 10 species